CAAACAGGAAGCAGGAAGGCCACACUGGAAAGGGUGUAUGGCUUCUGAAGUCUCAAGGCCUGGCCCAGGCGACACACUCUCUGCAGUAAGGGCAUACCUCCUAAGCCUACCUUCUGCUACCAGCGGGGGACCAACUCUUCGGAGGCCUGAGAAAAUGAGGGGCAGCUCAUUCAAAUCACCUACAGGAGCACCGAGAAGACACUCAAUUUGCCUAAGGAUCAGUAUCUUUUUUAAGAUUUAUUUAUUUAUUAUGUAUACAAUUUUCUACCUACAUGUAUGUAUUGCAAGUUAGAAGAGGGCACCCGAUCUCAUUCUAGAUGGUUGUGAGCCACCAUGUGUUUGCUAGGAACUGAACUCAGGACCUCUGGGAGAACAGCCAGUGCUCUUAACCUCUGAGCCAUCUCUCUUGACCCAAGGAUCAGUAAGUCUUUUGUUAAGACAAAAGAUCUUUAUCUUUUUACACUGCAUGUGCUGACUAAUUCUGUGUCAGCCUGACACAGGCUAGAGUCAUUUGGGAAGAGAGAACCUCAAUUACGAGAAUGUUCCCACAGAUUAUCCUGUGGGCAAGCUUGUGGUGCAUUGUCUUGAUUGGUGAUUGAUGGGGGAGGGCCUGCACACUUUGCGUAGUGCCGUCCGGGGUCGGUGGUGGGGUACUAUAAAGAGCAAGCUGAGCAGGCCAGUAAGCAGCCUCUGCCUCAGUUCCUGCCUUCAGCUCGCUGCCCUGACCUCCCUCCAUGAUGGAGUACAACUCUCAGAUGAAGAGAAACUCUUUCCUCCAAAAAUUGCUCUUGGUCAUGAUUCCUGCCACAGCAACAGGAACCCAGCUAAGGCGUGUGCUCUGACGGUGAUGCUCUAUGCUCCUUAAAAACUGAUGUCACUUUUGACACCUUGACCCUGCCCACAACUGGGGAACACACAAACUGCUUUACUAGCACAGGUAUCGAGAGGAACCAGUAACAGAGCACAAGCACUGGCCGAGGCACCGUGAAGGCGUGUGGAGGAAAGCCCUCUAGACUGCAGUGAUGCACACGAGACAGUGGUUUGGCACUGCAGGAUAACUGCAUCUCCUUCUGCAGAGGCCACUAAGCGCUGGCUCAGAGCACUGCUUUCUUGAGUCACACACGCGUGGGCAGCGCAGCCUAACCUCAGGAGGCGACAGCAGCGAUGGCCAGCAAUCCCACAGCAACACUAUGGACACCAUCAACAAGCGCUAGAACAUGCAGAGCCUUGACGUCACUCAGGUAUCAGAA